rnacentral:rRNA from 1 species
UACGUAGGGUGCAAGCGUUAAUCGGAAUUACUGGGCGUAAAGCGUGCGCAGGCGGUUUUGUAAGUCUGACGUGAAAUCCCCGGGCUCAACCUGGGAAUUGCGUUGGAGACUGCAAGGCUGGAGUCUGGCAGAGGGGGGUAGAAUUCCACGUGUAGCAGUGAAAUGCGUAGAGAUGUGGAGGAACACCGAUGGCGAAGGCAGCCCCCUGGGUCAAGACUGACGCUCAUGCACGAAAGCGUGGGGAGCGAACAGG